UUGCCAUGAUGGUUACAUUUUUCGUCAGCAGCAUUUCACGCACAGUGAAUGUUGACAUCGAAAUAUCUGAGCAA